AGAGAGGGAGGCUUCGUGGCGGCAAAAUCACCAUCGGUCAUCCUCUUUUCCUUCUGGACGUUCUAGUGCGAAGUUCUAAAACACUCGGUAGAUUCGAAAAUUUUCUAAGUGUGGUUAGAAAAGCAAGUGGUUAAGUGAAGCUAGAUUCCAAAUUGACUCUGAGCAAAUCUGUGCAGUUUCAGGACCUUUUUUGUUUCCUUGGUUUAAGCGGAAUUCCGGGUUGACUGCCGGUAAUUCCCGCAAGCAACAUACCCGGACACUGCGGUGCCCGGAAGUCGCACUUUUGGUCUCUGCUACGAAGCUUGCGCUGAGUAGCAUCAACGUCAAAGAGACAACGCUUCUCACCGUGCGCGGUGAUCACCGUAAAAGAAGCUUUUCACUCGGAUUAAAGCAUCCUAAUCAUCAAGGAGUGCCCUUCCGCCGGAACUACCCACGGUACGACCGGUUCAACAAAGGAAGAAGACGUCCAGGGGUGUGAUCGAACACCCAAAUAGCUUGCAGUAGCUGUACCUACACGAGCUGACGGAGCAGCAUACCCAGCCACAACCCAGAGGUCCUGCGCUAUUGCGCUAACGCGUGGACCUAUCCAGCAAACAAUUUGGCGCAGCGCGCUAGCCGUUGCUUUGCUGGGAACCCCUGCAUGAUCCCGCCUAGAUCACCAGUACCUGCCUGCCGCUAGAUGAGCGGCGGCCCCUGUUCCAGCCUGCAUGUCCAGCGCGGACGUGUAAGCCAAAGACCCGCCACGUGGACGCACCACGUGUACACGAUCGUUCGAGGCCUCGACAAACGGAUAAAUCCGGGUAAGACAAACUUGUGAAAACUCUAUGUUUGAUUCCUUUUGCCUAAGAGUAGUAGUAUAGUAGUGCGCAUGUGGGUCAGAAUAAACUGUGCAAAAUAUGAA